rnacentral:ncRNA from 2 species
CAAAGGUUUGGUCCUGGCCUUAUUAUUAAUUUUAGCUACAUUUACACAUGCAAGUAUCAGCAUCCCCGUGAAAAUGCCCUCUACCACCAAUAAGUGUUGGAGGGGCGGAUAUCAGGCGCCCUAAAAUGCCAAAGACAUCUUGUUUAGCCACACCCUCAAGGGAACUCAGCAGUGAUAAACAUUGAAAAAUAAGCGACAAAAGCUUGAACCAGUGAUAGCUAAUAGAGUCGGUAAAUCUCGUGCCAGCCACCGCGGUUAUACGAAAGACUCAGAUUAAUAAAAUCGGCUCAAAGGGUGGUUAAAGAUAUAUACACUAAUAGAACUAAAAAUUAACUACGCUGUCGUACGCAAUAGUUUUAAAAAAAUUCAACAUCGAAAGCAGUUCUACUAAAACAAACUUGAACCCACGACAGUUAGGGCCCAAACUGGGAUUAGAUACCCCACUAUGCCUAACCAUAAACUUUGACUUAUCCGCCAGAGCACUACGAGCAACAGCUUAAAACUCAAAGGACUUGGCGGUGCUCUACACCCCCCUAGAGGAGCCUGUUCUAUAAUCGAUAAUCCACGAUAAACCUCACCAUCUAUUGCUAAUACAGCUUAUAUACCACCGUCCAGCCCACCCUUUAAAGGACAAACAGUAGGCACAAUUAUAAACAUAAGAACGUCAGGUCAAGGUGUAGCAUAUAAGAUGGGAAGAAAUGGGCUACAUUUUCUAACCUAGAAAACACGGAAAAGUUUAUGAAAUAAAACUAUAAAGGAGGAUUUAGCAGUAAAAAGAAAAAAGAGUGUUCUUUUUAAACCGGCAAUAGAGCGCGCACACACCGCCCGUCACCCUCUUCAAACAAUAAUAAAAUAUAGAUAAACAAUGAAUCAAAAAGAAGAAGAGGCAAGUCGUAACAUGGUAAGUCCACCGGAAGGUGAACUUGGAA